rnacentral:rRNA from 1 species
UUAAGUUAUUAAGGGCGCACGGUGGAUGCCUUGGCACUAGAAGCCGAUGAAGGACGUUACUAACGACGAUAUGCUUUGGGGAGCUGUAAGUAAGCUUUGAUCCAGAGAUUUCCGAAUGGGGAAACCCAGCAUGAGUUAUGUCAUGUUAUCGAUAUGUGAAUACAUAGCAUAUCAGAAGGCACACCCGGAGAACUGAAACAUCUUAGUACCCGGAGGAAGAGAAAGAAAAUUCGAUUCCCUUAGUAGCGGCGAGCGAAACGGGAAGAGCCCAAACCAACAAGCUUGCUUGUUGGGGUUGUAGGACACUCUAUACGGAGUUACAAAGGACGACAUUAGACGAAUCAUCUGGAAAGAUGAAUCAAAGAAGGUAAUAAUCCUGUAGUCGAAAAUGUUGUCUCUCUUGAGUGGAUCCUGAGUACGACGGAGCACGUGAAAUUCCGUCGGAAUCUGGGAGGACCAUCUCCUAAGGCUAAAUACUCUCUAGUGACCGAUAGUGAACCAGUACCGUGAGGGAAAGGUGAAAAGCACCCCGGAAGGGGAGUGAAAUAGAACCUGAAACCGUGUGCUUACAAGUAGUCAGAGCCCGUUAAUGGGUGAUGGCGUGCCUUUUGUAGAAUGAACCGGCGAGUUACGAUUUGAUGCAAGGUUAAGCAGUAAAUGUGGAGCCGUAGCGAAAGCGAGUCUGAAUAGGGCGUUUAGUAUUUGGUCGUAGACCCGAAACCAGGUGAUCUACCCUUGGUCAGGUUGAAGUUCAGGUAACACUGAAUGGAGGACCGAACCGACUUACGUUGAAAAGUGAGCGGAUGAACUGAGGGUAGCGGAGAAAUUCCAAUCGAACCUGGAGAUAGCUGGUUCUCUCCGAAAUAGCUUUAGGGCUAGCCUCAAGUGAUGAUUAUUGGAGGUAGAGCACUGUUUGGACGAGGGGCCCCUCUCGGGUUACCGAAUUCAGACAAACUCCGAAUGCCAAUUAAUUUAACUUGGGAGUCAGAACAUGGGUGAUAAGGUCCGUGUUCGAAAGGGAAACAGCCCAGACCACCAGCUAAGGUCCCAAAAUAUAUGUUAAGUGGAAAAGGAUGUGGCGUUGCCCAGACAACUAGGAUGUUGGCUUAGAAGCAGCCAUCAUUUAAAGAGUGCGUAAUAGCUCACUAGUCGAGUGACACUGCGCCGAAAAUGUACCGGGGCUAAACAUAUUACCGAAGCUGUGGAUUGUCCUUUGGACAAUGGUAGGAGAGCGUUCUAAGGGCGUUGAAGCAUGAUCGUAAGGACAUGUGGAGCGCUUAGAAGUGAGAAUGCCGGUGUGAGUAGCGAAAGACGGGUGAGAAUCCCGUCCACCGAUUGACUAAGGUUUCCAGAGGAAGGCUCGUCCGCUCUGGGUUAGUCGGGUCCUAAGCUGAGGCCGACAGGCGUAGGCGAUGGAUAACAGGUUGAUAUUCCUGUACCACCUAUAAUCGUUUUAAUCGAUGGGGGGACGCAGUAGGAUAGGCGAAGCGUGAUUGGAUUGCACGUCUAAGCAGUAAGGCUGAGUAUUAGGCAAAUCCGGUACUCGUUAAGGCUGAGCUGUGAUGGGGAGAAGACAUUGUGUCUUCGAGUCGUUGAUUUCACACUGCCGAGAAAAGCCUCUAGAUAGAAAAUAGGUGCCCGUACCGCAAACCGACACAGGUAGUCAAGAUGAGAAUUCUAAGGUGAGCGAGCGAACUCUCGUUAAGGAACUCGGCAAAAUGACCCCGUAACUUCGGGAGAAGGGGUGCUCUUUAGGGUUAACGCCCAGAAGAGCCGCAGUGAAUAGGCCCAAGCGACUGUUUAUCAAAAACACAGGUCUCUGCUAAACCGUAAGGUGAUGUAUAGGGGCUGACGCCUGCCCGGUGCUGGAAGGUUAAGAGGAGUGGUUAGCUUCUGCGAAGCUACGAAUCGAAGCCCCAGUAAACGGCGGCCGUAACUAUAACGGUCCUAAGGUAGCGAAAUUCCUUGUCGGGUAAGUUCCGACCCGCACGAAAGGCGUAACGAUUUGGGCACUGUCUCAACGAGAGACUCGGUGAAAUCAUAGUACCUGUGAAGAUGCAGGUUACCCGCGACAGGACGGAAAGACCCCGUGGAGCUUUACUGUAGCCUGAUAUUGAAAUUCGGCACAGCUUGUACAGGAUAGGUAGGAGCCUUUGAAACGUGAGCGCUAGCUUACGUGGAGGCGCUGGUGGGAUACUACCCUAGCUGUGUUGGCUUUCUAACCCGCACCACUUAUCGUGGUGGGAGACAGUGUCAGGCGGGCAGUUUGACUGGGGCGGUCGCCUCCUAAAAGGUAACGGAGGCGCUCAAAGGUUCCCUCAGAAUGGUUGGAAAUCAUUCAUAGAGUGUAAAGGCAUAAGGGAGCUUGACUGCGAGACCUACAAGUCGAGCAGGGUCGAAAGACGGACUUAGUGAUCCGGUGGUUCCGCAUGGAAGGGCCAUCGCUCAACGGAUAAAAGCUACCCCGGGGAUAACAGGCUUAUCUCCCCCAAGAGUUCACAUCGACGGGGAGGUUUGGCACCUCGAUGUCGGCUCAUCGCAUCCUGGGGCUGUAGUCGGUCCCAAGGGUUGGGCUGUUCGCCCAUUAAAGCGGUACGCGAGCUGGGUUCAGAACGUCGUGAGACAGUUCGGUCCCUAUCCGUCGUGGGCGUAGGAAAUUUGAGAGGAGCUGUCCUUAGUACGAGAGGACCGGGAUGGACAUACCUCUGGUGUACCAGUUGUCGUGCCAACGGCAUAGCUGGGUAGCUAUGUGUGGACGGGAUAAGUGCUGAAAGCAUCUAAGCAUGAAGCCCCCCUCAAGAUGAGAUUUCCCAACUUCGGUUAUAAGAUCCCUCAAAGAUGAUGAGGUUAAUAGGUUCGAGGUGGAAGCAUGGUGACAUGUGGAGCUGACGAAUACUAAUCGAUCGAAGACUUAAUCAA